rnacentral:rRNA from 1 species
CCCUUAGAUGUUCUGGGCCGCACGCGCGCUACACUGAUGCAUUCAACGAGUUUCUUCCUGGUCCGAGAGGAAUGGGUAACCUUUUGAAAGUGCAUCGUGAUAGGGAUAGACUAUUGCAAUUAUUGGUCUUCAACGAGGAAUUCCUAGUAGACGUAGUUCAUCAGACUGCAUCGAUUACGUCCCUGCCCUUUGUACACACCGCCCGUCGCUCCUACCGAUGAAUCGUCCGGUGAAGUUCAUGGAGUGGUGGUUGUUCCAGCUGCUGUCGAAGUGAAAUGGACCUCACGAUUUAGAGGAAGGAGAAGUCGUAACA